UUUAACGACGUCUAUUUUGAACUCGUGCUCUGCUUUUUCGCGCUUGUUGCAAACGUUUGUUUCCCUGAAUCCGGAGUCGCGGCUCCUUCUCGUCCAUACGCUCUCUUACUUCCCUCUGAAAAUGUCGGAAAUUGGCGCUUUGUGUUUUGUCUGCGGCUAGCCCACUCGGCUAGCUGCAGGGAAACGGGGGGAAACUUGUGCAAAACUUUGUGAAAUGUGACACCACAGUUCAAGUAUUAGUUCGCCCGUGAUUUCUAGGGCGCAAUAGACGCGGACCUGCUUCGUUCGUCCGACGCGCCGUGUGUGCUAAUCUUGAUUACGGUGGUAGUGUUAAUUACUGUCUUUACAGCAAUUGUUAGUUUCUGCCGUCACUGAUUGGGAUGCUAGGCACUAGCGAGUGGGCUUGAGAGGAAACCGACAACAACAACAUCAUCCUCGGAUGGACACCUCGGUCAUGCUGUGAACCCGAGCAGCCGUUUCCUCCUGCCCCGCGCCUCUCUCCUAUCUAAAUUAUUUUGACGGAUGACACGCGGAGGACAGCGGAAGAUGUAAAAGGAGAAGCCAACUAUCUGUAAGCCAGCAAGCGGCAAAGGGAGGCGAGGACAGCAGUGCUGAGAGAGAGCGGGGGCAUUGGGGAUGGGGUUAAAGAGCCAAAGGCGGACGUCAUGGUUCACAGCAACUCUAACUCCCCAAUGACAACACCAUCUACCUCGCUUCACCGGACUGUUUGUUCUAAAGCACCUCUUUUGGUGUCGUGUCCCAGAGGUGCUGCGGAACAGGACCUAAACCGGACCUCCGCAGACCCGACUUCCCAUUCCGAGUCCACGCAGACUCCUUCUCAGACUCCUGCUGACGCCCCUCGCCAUGUUGCAAAAGGAUCCGGCGCUAAAUCGAGCUCCGCACCCAGCAGGCCCCACACACCGGCACCAACCUCCACUCAGGACCAACUCAACGGCCGUCGGUCAGGCAGGAAAAGGACGCCUAAGGCCUGCGAUUGCUGCGGCCCCAACAGCAGGGGGCACAAUGUUGAAACCUCGGGCAGAAGUAAGGGAAAGGCUCGAGGGAGGGGAGCAGGCGGAGACCUCGCGGACACCCCUCAAAGAAAGCCACCCAAGCUGACGGCUAUCAGGAACUUUAAGUUGACUGUGGAAAAUGUACAGGAAUCAGAAGAUGAGGGUAACAGAAAAACAAACAGGAAUAGAACACAGACCACAUAACA